CCUACGGGGGGCAGCAGUGAGGAAUCUUGGUCAAUGGGCGCAAGCCUGAACCAGCCAAGUCGCGUGAGGGAUGACGGCUCUACGGGUUGUAAACUUCUUUUAUAAAAGAGUAAAGUGAGGCACGUGUCCCUUUUUGUAUGUACUUUAUGAAUAAGGAUCGGCUAACUCCGUGCCAGCAGCCGCGGUAAUACGGAGGAUCCGAGCGUUAUCCGGAUUUAUUGGGUUUAAAGGGAGCGUAGACGGGUUGUUAAGUUAGAGGUGAAAUUUUGGGGAUCAACCUUAGAAGUGCAUGUGAUACUGGGAGUCUAGAGUAUAGUUGAGGUAGGCGGAAUGCGUGGUGUAGCGGUGAAAUGCUUAGAUAUCAUGCAGAACACCGAUUGCGAAGGCAGCUUACUAAUCUACCACUGACGUUGAGGCUCGAAAGCGUGGGUAGCAAACAGGAUUAGAUACCCGGGUAGUC
rnacentral:rRNA from 1 species